rnacentral:rRNA from 1 species
UACGGAGGGAGCAAGCGUUACUCGGAAUUAUUGGGCGUAAAGGGCGCGUAGGCGAUUCGAUAAGUCUCGUGUGAAAUCCCAGGGCCUAACCCUGGAAUGGCAUGGGAUACUGUUGAAUUUGAGUUCCGGAGAGGAAGGCAGAAUUCCCGGUGUAGCGGUGAAAUGCGUAGAUAUUCGGAAGAACACCAGUGGCGAAGGCGGCUCACUGGCUCAUACUGGACGCUGAGGUGCGAAAGCGUGGGGAGCAAACAGG